AGCGCAGUGGGGAUAUUGCACAAUGGGCGCAAGCCUGAUGCAGCGACGCCGCGUGGGGGAUGAAGGCCUUCGGGUUGUAAACUCCUUUCAGCCAUGACGAAGCUGGCCUUGUUGGGUCAGUGACGGUAGUGGUAGAAGAAGCACCGGCUAACUACGUGCCAGCAGCCGCGGUAAUACGUAGGGUGCGAGCGUUGUCCGGAAUUACUGGGCGUAAAGAGCUCGUAGGUGGUUUGUCACGUCGUCUGUGAAAUUCCGGGGCUUAACUCCGGGCGUGCAGGCGAUACGGGCAUAACUUGAGUACUGUAGGGGAGACUGGAAUUCCUGGUGUAGCGGUGAAAUGCGCAGAUAUCAGGAGGAACACCGAUGGCGAAGGCAGGUCUCUGGGCAGUUACUGACGCUGAGGAGCGAAAGCAUGGGUAGCGAACAGGAUUAGAUACCCUGGUAGUCCAUGCCGUAAACGGUGGGCGCUAGGUGUGGGGGUCUUCCACGACUUCCGUGCCGUAGCUAACGCAUUAAGCGCCCCGCCUGGGGAGUACGGCCGCAAGGCUAAAACUCAAAGGAAUUGACGGGCGA
rnacentral:rRNA from 1 species